AAAAAAAAAUGGCUAAACCAUCUCUUCUCUCGACGAAUCCAAAAUGGCUUCUUUCAACCAUUGUUGGCUCUCUUCUCCACUCGCCGAACCUCCCACUUUCUUCCUAUCUCCAUCUCCACAACCAAAAUCCUAUAAACUCUCUGUUUUCCGAAACAAAUCUUCGCCGCUACCCAACUGUUCCUCGCCGGACCGCACGCCGGAGGUUGAGCUCGCCGUCGAUCCCGUGAAGCUCGCCUUGAAGAAAGCCGAAGCGUAUAAAAAAUCGAAAUUGAAACCGAAAGCGGAGGAGCAGCAAGACCGAGAGAGAAAUGCCGGUGACGAGACGAAAGUUUCUAAGCAAAAAGCUGAUGAUUAUAAGGAAAGUAAAGUGCUUGGAGCUGAUGGUGUCCAGGAGCCUAAACCCAAGCAAAGUGUUGCUAGAUCAUCAUCGAAGGCUGAUGAAGAUAAUGAUGGUAAUAAGAAGAAAGACUUGAAAGUAUCGAGCAUUGAUUUCGUUGGGCUUGGUUUUGCUGAUAAGAAGAACACGAGGGGGCUUCCACCGGGACUGGUUCCUGUUGUCGAUUAUUUCCCUGGAGAAGACUUACCUGAGGUGGAGAUUCUUGUUGGUGACAAAACAAGAUUUGCAGAGACAGAAAAGGAGCUGGAGCAAGAAGGAAAUGAAAACUCUGAUGUAUAUAAGCCCAAAGUUUCGACAUGGGGUGUUUUCCCAAGACCAAGCAACAUCUCUAAAACGUUUGGUGGUGGAAGGACUCUCCAACCAGGGGAUUCAGUUGAAACCGCUGAAGAGAGGAUUGCAAGAGAAGAACGUACAAAACAAUUGCUCACUGCCUACAAGGAAUCAAUCGGACUGAAUAUUGAUCCCAAACUCAAACUUGAGUGUGAGGAGGCACUAGAAAAGGGGAACUCGCUUAUGGAUUCAGGGAAACUCAAAGAAGCUUUGCCGUACUAUGAAAAGGUCAUGGAGAAAAUAGUCUUCAAGUUGUGCAGAGUGAGCUUCAUGGAUUAGCAGCUUUGCAGUGGUCUAUUUGUCAGGAUUCACUUCGGAAGUAAGUAACAUGCUUUGUUGUUGAAAACUCGAAAUCGUUUUACUUUUUCUUCGUUGGCUUCACAACUGUUAAAAAUUUAUUAAGCAGUUUGAUAAGGGUUUGAAAAAAGAAACUGUUUUUAUUUCUCCCUAAGGCUGAAGUACAAACACUGAGCCCAGUAUUACCAAUUCAGAAUGACCUAAGCAUUUGAUCUAGAGAACCCAAAAAAAAUCUCCCAAGCUCCAAAAAAGCCUCAAGAAAAUCACAACAUACUAGAUAUAUCCUAACGUUUAAAUCCCCUGUUUAUAUACUAACCAAGUUGGUGGCUCAUUUGAUGAUGUUGGUCUCUUGUGCGUUAAAAUCGUUAUUUUGGAGUGAUUGACAGAGAAGAUAAGGCAAGGGGCAUGUAUGAGAAGCUUCUAUCCCACCCAAACCCGAGAGUGAGCAAGAAAGCGAGGCAGUUCAUGUUCAGUUUUCAGGCAAUGGAGAUGUUGAAGGUUAAGGGGUCGAGCUUCAUGCAGAUUAACCCUGGGUAUGAGGAUUACUUUGAAGCCUUUGUCAAAAAAGACAAAAUGAAUUACAAAACAGAGGAGGAAGAAGAAGGAGAGGCAUUGGGAAUAAAUGAGACGCUUCUUUAUGUGAUUCUUCUUGCGUCUCCGAUUCUAUUGAUCAUUUUUGUGGCUGCACAGAGAGGGAAUAUUCACUGAAGGCACAAACCCUUGUCAACUUCUUCAUGUAAUUUUUGUAAAUAUAUAAGGUAAUGUUAUGCAAAGCAGCCAAAUUAGUCGUUGGUUGGCUUGCAUCUGUUUAUUGACCUUAAUUGAAAAUUCAAUUCAUUUUGUUAAGAGUUGAA